rnacentral:siRNA from 1 species
UGUAUUAUCUAGAGGUUGACCCGC